UUCUGGGGUGGGGUCCGCAGUGUGACGCAGGCAAUCAUGUUGUGUCUCUCAAAGGGAGAACAAUGAAUAAGAAGGGGCUGUCGAUGCCGAGUUUUAACAGGAGGAGGCAGCAACUUCAGGUGUUGACUUGAGAAGGGCUGGAUGGAUCCCUGACAUGCUUCCCCUGCAGCCGGGUGCCGGGGUCUCAGGGGCCCCAGCAUCUCCGAUCUCGAGCUGGAAGAGACCUUAGGGGCCACGGAGGCCAAAGUCCUCAGUUUACAGUUGAGGAAAGGGACUCUGGGGCCUGAGAGAGCCCGUCUGUCUGCCGCCCCCUGCUCCAGACUCAGCCCGCGGCCCUUCCCGAGGCUCCGGUCCCCGACCAUGUCCUUAACAGGGCUUCUCACACAUAAAGUUGUCAUUAAUAUCCGGGUCACCGUCACUCAUGAUCGAAGGGGAGGAUACAACAAUAUUGCCAAUAGAUAAAUACAUCCGAUCCUGCCAGAGGGCGGAGA